rnacentral:rRNA from 1 species
AGCCCAGAGCCUGAAUCAGUGUGUGUGUUAGUGGAAGCGUCUGGAAAGGCGCGCGAUACAGGGUGACAGCCCCGUACACAAAAAUGCACAUACUGUGAGCUCGAUGAGUAGGGCGGGACACGUGGUAUCCUGUCUGAAUAUGGGGGGACCAUCCUCCAAGGCUAAAUACUCCUGACUGACCGAUAGUGAACCAGUACCGUGAGGGAAAGGCGAAAAGAACCCCGGCGAGGGGAGUGAAAAAGAACCUGAAACCGUGUACGUACAAGCAGUGGGAGCACAGAGCAAUCUGUGUGACUGCGUACCUUUUGUAUAAUGGGUCAGCGACUUAUAUUCUGUAGCAAGGUUAACCGAAUAGGGGAGCCGAAGGGAAACCGAGUCUUAACUGGGCGUUAAGUUGCAGGGUAUAGACCCGAAACCCGGUGAUCUAGCCAUGGGCAGGUUGAAGGUUGGGUAACACUAACUGGAGGACCGAACCGACUAAUGUUGAAAAAUUAGCGGAUGACUUGUGGCUGGGGGUGAAAGGCCAAUCAAACCGGGAGAUAGCUGGUUCUCCCCGAAAGCUAUUUAGGUAGCGCCUCGUGAAUUCAUCUCCGGGGGUAGAGCACUGUUUCGGCAAGGGGGUCAUCCCGACUUACCAACCCGAUGCAAACUGCGAAUACCGGAGAAUGUUAUCACGGGAGACACACGGCGGGUGCUAACGUCCGUCGUGAAGAGGGAAACAACCCAGACCGCCAGCUAAGGUCCCAAAGUCAUGGUUAAGUGGGAAACGAUGUGGGAAGGCCCAGACAGCCAGGAUGUUGGCUUAGAAGCAGCCAUCAUUUAAAGAAAGCGUAAUAGCUCACUGGUCGAGUCGGCCUGCGCGGAAGAUGUAACGGGGCUAAACCAUGCACCGAAGCUGCGGCAGCGACGCUUAUGCGUUGUUGGGUAGGGGAGCGUUCUGUAAGCCUGUGAAGGUGUGCUGUGAGGCAUGCUGGAGGUAUCAGAAGUGCGAAUGCUGACAUAAGUAACGAUAAAGCGGGUGAAAAGCCCGCUCGCCGGAAGACCAAGGGUUCCUGUCCAACGUUAAUCGGGGCAGGGUGAGUCGACCCCUAAGGCGAGGCCGAAAGGCGUAGUCGAUGGGAAACAGGUUAAUAUUCCUGUACUUGGUGUUACUGCGAAGGGGGGACGGAGAAGGCUAUGUUGGCCGGGCGACGGUUGUCCCGGUUUAAGCGUGUAGGCUGGUUUUCCAGGCAAAUCCGGAAAAUCAAGGCUGAGGCGUGAUGACGAGGCACUACGGUGCUGAAGCAACAAAUGCCCUGCUUCCAGGAAAAGCCUCUAAGCAUCAGGUAACAUCAAAUCGUACCCCAAACCGACACAGGUGGUCAGGUAGAGAAUACCAAGGCGCUUGAGAGAACUCGGGUGAAGGAACUAGGCAAAAUGGUGCCGUAACUUCGGGAGAAGGCACGCUGAUAUGUAGGUGA